UACGUAGGGUGCGAGCGUUGUCCGGAAUUAUUGGGCGUAAAGAGCUUGUAGGCGGUUUGUCGCGUCUGCUGUGAAAAUCCGGGGCUCAACCCCGGACUUGCAGUGGGUACGGGCAGGCUAGAGUGUGGUAGGGGAGACUGGAAUUCCUGGUGUAGCGGUGAAAUGCGCAGAUAUCAGGAGGAACACCGAUGGCGAAGGCAGGUCUCUGGGCCACUACUGAUGCUGAGAAGCGAAAGCAUGGGGAGCGAACAGG
rnacentral:rRNA from 1 species